rnacentral:tRNA from 1 species
GGCGAGGUGGCUCAGUGGUGAGAGCAGAUCUAUCUCAGCUGUGUGGGGUCCUGGGUUCAAUCCCUGCCUCUCCU